GUCGGUGCGGUGCAGUUGGAGUGGCACACUGGUCUCCAAAACCAGGAUUAGAAAUAAUCAGGGGGUUCGAAUCCCUCCACCGAUGCCA
rnacentral:tRNA from 1 species